GUCAAUUCAUUUGAGUUUUAGCCUUGCGGCCGUACUCCCCAGGCGGGGCGCUUAAUGCGUUAGCUGCGGCACGGAAGGAGUCGAUGACCUCCCACACCUAGCGCCCAUCGUUUACGGCGUGGACUACCAGGGUAUCUAAUCCUGUUUGCUCCCCACGCUUUCGCUCCUCAGCGUCAGUACUGGCCCAGGAUCCCGCCUUCGCCACCGGUGUUCCUCCUGAUAUCUGCGCAUUCCACCGCUACACCAGGAAUUCCAGAUCCCCCUACCAGACUCUAGCCGCCCAGUAUCGAAUGCAGGCUCGAGGUUAAGCCUCGAGGUUUCACAUUCGACUUGAGUGGCCGCCUACGAGCUCUUUACGCCCAAUGAAUCCGGACAACGCUCGGUCCCUACGUAUUACCGC
rnacentral:misc_RNA from 1 species